UCCAAUGAGUAGUUUAUGUGGUAAUAACGAUGAACUGUAAAUUUAGACGUCUUAAGUUCGAAUCUUGACAAUUUCUUGGAA